rnacentral:lncRNA from 1 species
GUUGCCUAAAUGUGGCAAUAGAAAUUUUUUUUUUUUCCAUUUCUAACUUGGAAGAGGAUUCUUCCAACAAUUUUUCAUUUAGGGAAUGCACCACACUCUGGAUGUGGGUGCAGAGAAGAUGGCUGGCUGGAUCCAGGGUUUUAAUGUUUCCAGCAUGAAGGCAGGGACUUGCUGAGGUUAUGUGUACCAGUCUCCAACCAUUGAUAUUGGCCCAUUUACUUAUUUCACAGGACAAGAGCAUGGGAACAACUAUCUCCUGGAAUGGCCCUUCCACAGGAAGAGAGAAGGAUGCAUGGCACAGAGGAAGGAUGGGGCACCUGGAUUCAAAAUCUGCUUCCACCAUCCAUGGAGCCUGGGAUGUUGAAGAAUUAGUUUUUUCUCUUGGAACUUGCUUUCCUUACUUGUAAAAUAAAGUUAAUCCUACAAAC